GUUCGUUCGUGUCCAUCGCCAGUUACGUCAAAAUCAAUCGGACAGUUCAAUGGAAAUGAUUGAUGGCGCGUAAACGAGCGCAGUGGUCACGGACGCACUAUGGCCAGACGACGGCGGGCCUUGACGUUUCCGCUGAAAAUUGCCGCAGAAAUAAUAUUUACGCUAACGUAAAACGAAUUCUAUGGCAUCAUCGUUCCGAUCAACACAGUACGCUCCGUCGCUGCACUCAAAUGUAUCAAAAUAGACGCCGGUCGAAAAACGCACAGAUUUAGACAAGCAGAUUUCUCUCGUCACAAGAUGCAACGGUUCAGUGCAACGUGGCGCAUAGCAGUGCAGUUUUCUCGUGCGGAAAUUGGAUCUCUUCCAGUUCUCGCUAAUGACAGGAAGAGGCAAGUGGAAAACGAUGAUUCUUCGGUCAAUGUAUCGUACCGAUAUUAUAAAAUCGAUUAAAAAACUCGUCUCUUUCGUCAACUUUUCAUAAACUUGACAAAAGUUAGUAAAAUAUCUUGUGGAAUAUAAAAUUAUCUAAUUGUUUGAUAUAAAAAAAAUGUCAUAAAACCAAAACUGUCAAAAUUAUAAAAAAAUUGUUUGACUUAAAAAAUUUUCGCAACAAUAACUUUAUAGCUCAGAUUAGAAGACUGUACAGCAAUAAAUACAUAUUUGUAAAAAUUAAUUUAUUCUUUGGAAGACU